rnacentral:rRNA from 1 species
UGGGGAAUAUUGGACAAUGGGCGAAAGCCUGAUCCAGCAAUGCCGCGUGAGUGAUGAAGGCCUUAGGGUUGUAAAGCUCUUUCGGGUGGGACGAUGAUGACGGUACCACCAGAAGAAGCCCCGGCUAACUUCGUGCCAGCAGCCGCGGUAAUACGAAGGGGGCUAGCGUUGUUCGGAAUUACUGGGCGUAAAGCGCACGCAGGCGGCUCGUUAAAUUAGAAGUGAAAGCCUUGGGCUCAACCUGAGAAUUGCUUUUAAGACUGGCGAGCUAGAAUCCAGAAGAGGGCAGUGGAAUUCCUAGUGUAGAGGCGAAAUUCGUAGAUAUUAGGAAGAACACCAGUGGCGAAGGCGACUGCCUGGUCUGGCAUUGACGCUCAUGUGCGAAAGCGUGGGGAGCAAACAGG